UACGAAGGGGGGCUAGCGUUGUUCGGAAUUACUGGGCGUAAAGCGCACGUAGGCGGAUUUUUAAGUCAGGGGUGAAAUCCCGAGGCUCAACCUCGGAACUGCCUUUGAUACUGGAGAUCUUGAGUCCGGAAGAGGUAAGUGGAACUGCGAGUGUAGAGGUGAAAUUCGUAGAUAUUCGCAAGAACACCAGUGGCGAAGGCGGCUUACUGGUCCGGAACUGACGCUGAGGUGCGAAAGCGUGGGGAGCAAACAGGG
rnacentral:rRNA from 1 species